UACGUAGGGUGCGAGCGUUAAUCGGAAUUACUGGGCGUAAAGCGUGCGCAGGCGGUUUUGUAAGCCAGAUGUGAAAUCCCCGGGCUUAACCUGGGAAUGGCAUUUGGGACUGCAAGGCUGGAGUUUGGCAGAGGAGACUGGAAUUCCUGGUGUAGCAGUGAAAUGCGUAGAUAUCGUAAGGAAGACCAGUGGCGAAGGCGGAUCUCUGGACAGUUACUGACACUGAGGCACGAAGGCCAGGGGAGCAAACGGG
rnacentral:rRNA from 1 species